rnacentral:rRNA from 1 species
CCUACGUGUGUCAGCAGUGGGGAAUAUUGGGCAAUGGAGGCAACUCUGACCCAGCAAUGCCGCGUGAAUGAAGAAGGUCUUCGGAUUGUAAAGUUCUUUAAUCAGGGACGAAGAAGAUGACGGUACCUGAGGAAUAAUCCACGGCAAACUAUGUGCCAGCAGCCGCGGUAAUACCUAGGUGGCAAGCGUUAUCCGGAUUUAUUGGGUUUAAAGGGUGCGUAGGCGGUCGAAUAAGUUAGAGGGGAACUCCCGAGGCUCAACUUCGGAAUUGCCUCUGAUACUGUUCGGCUAGAGAGUAGUUGCGGUAGGCGGAAUGUAUGGUGUAGCGGUGAAAUGCUUAGAGAUCAUACAGAACACCGAUUGCGAAGGCAGCUUACCAAGCUACUUCUGACGUUGAGGCACGAAAGCGUGGGGAGCAAACAGGAUUAGAUACCCUGGUAGUC